UCCGUAGGGUGCUCGCGUUACUCUUCAUUACUUUGCUUCCAGCUGGCUCCGGCUUUUAUGUACUCCAGAUGUGAAAUCCCCGGGCUCAACCUGGGAACUGCAUUUGCGACUGCAUGGCUAGAGUACGGUAGAGGGGGAUGGAAUUCCGCGUGUAGCAGUGAAAUGCGUAGAUAUGCGGAGGAACACCGAUGGCGAAGGCAAUCCCCUGGACCUGUACUGACGCUCAUGCACGAAAGCGUGGGGAGCAAACAGGAUUAGAUACCCUGGUAGUCCACGCCCUAAACGAUGUCAACUGGUUGUUGGGAAUUAGUUUUCUCAGUAACGAAGCUAACGCGUGAAGUGGACCGCCUGGGGAGUACGGCCGCAAGGUUGAA
rnacentral:rRNA from 1 species